rnacentral:rRNA from 1 species
GGACGAAAGUCUGACGGAGCAACGCCGCGUGAGUGAAGAAGGUUUUCGGAUCGUAAAACUCUGUUUUCAGGGACGAAUGUGCUAUUUGUGAAUAAUGAGUAGUAAUGACGGUACCUGACAAGAAAGCCACGGCUAACUACGUGCCAGCAGCCGCGGUAAUACGUAGGUGGCAAGCGUUGUCCGGAAUUAUUGGGCGUAAAGCGCGCGCAGGUGGGAUAAUCAGUCUGGUGUUAAAGUUCGGGGCUCAACCCCGUGAAGCAUUGGAAACUAUUAUUCUUGAGUGCAGGAGAGGAAAGUGGAAUUCCUAGUGUAGCGGUGAAAUGCAUAGAUAUUAGGAGGAACACCAGUGGCGAAGGCGACUUUCUGGACUGUGUCUGACACUGAGGCGCGAAAGCCAGGGUAGUGAACGGGAUUAGAUACCCCGGUAAUCCUGGCCGUAAACGAUGAGUGCUAAGUGUUGGAGGGUUUCCGCCCUUUAGUGCUGCAGCAAACGCAUUAAGCACUCCGCCUGGGGAGUAC